rnacentral:lncRNA from 1 species
AGUAGCCUGGUGUCAUGUAUACCUUAGCACUCAGGAGCCUGGGCCACAAAGUGAGACCCAGUCUCAGAGAAGACAGGAAAAGUGUGUUUGGAACGGGAGCGUUAGUGCUCUUUCUGUAGUGGUUUGGUUUUUUUAUGUGGAAGUUGGCCUGGCUUCUCAGAGCCUCUGCCAGUAUACACUGGUGGUCCAUAUAAAAGUCUUUGGGUCUCAGAUCACUUAGAAGGCCCAGGAUUCCUUCCUCAGCACAUUUAUUGCUACUCUGACAGAAUAUAACCUGUAGUAGCAAAGUGCUGCUGGCUAGCUUCCUCAUUCUGCCUUUGCACAGCUCUCCAGUGAGAAAGCUGCUGCCUGGGCUCCACUUGCCCACUUGGGAGUGAGCUCAUCCAGGCCUACUUUGGGGUUGUUCUGAUCCCCAUUCACCUGUGAGGAAAUGGAGGUCUGGAACUAGAGCAAGAGUUAGCUUGUAGCUUUUGGGGGAGAGGACCCGGGCAGCUAGACACUGGUGCUAAAUUGUGCCUUUUCUUCCUAAGGUGAAAUUUAUGAAAAGCAAGCCGGGGGCCGCCAUGGUGGAGAUGGCUGAUGGCUAUGCUGUGGACCGAGCCAUUACUCACCUCAACAACAACUUCAUGUUCGGGCAGAAGAUGAAUGUCUGUGUCUCCAAGCAACCAGCCAUUAUGCCCGGUCAGUCAUAUGGGCUAGAAGACGGAUCUUGCAGUUACAAAGACUUCAGCGAGUCAAGGAACAAUCGGUUCUCUACUCCAGAGCAGGCAGCUAAGAACCGCAUCCAGCACCCUAGCAAUGUUCUGCACU